UUCGGACGUCUCUCUCUCUCUCUCUCUCUCUCUCUCUCCCUCUCUCUCACCAUCUCUCUCGUGUAUAAAUACAUGGACCCUCUCUGGCUAGGAAACAACACAACCUUCUCACCAAAGAAGUCUAUAAACACUCAUCUUCCUCCCUCGGUUUUCUAAGGAAUUGAAGCAGUGAAGAAUCUGUGAAGCUCAGGAGGGAUAGCGCCAACAAAAUAACAUAUGCAUGGUGAUCUCUAUUCCUGAAUGUGUGUAUUUGUUCAAACUGUCGCGCUAUCCAUCCUGAGUUUCAUAGCUUUUUCAUGCUCGGGAUAUCUUUUCCAGGGCUGGAUUCUGUGACGAGAUGAUGCACCUACGAAGGUACUGCAAUUGGCCGAGCUAAUGAUGUUAUGAGAAAUGGAGCUGACAGGGGAUUGCUGUUGAAACUUGAAAGUGGCCAUAACCCAUACUAGUUACUAUGUAAAUAUUUGAGUAGUAGCUACUACAAAUUAAAUCUGGAACAGAGCAAUGGCAGCUCCAUUGGACUAUUGGAGUGAAAUCUUUAAAGUUUAGUCCUGCAAGAGCCAGAUGGACUCUAGUGAAUGCUAGAAGCAAGUGUAUUGGCACCUGUGGGAUAUGAGUCCAUGAUUCAGCAUCAUUGUUAUAAUAAUCUGUUACUAACUUGAACAAUUAACAAAGACUGUCAGGAACUGUAUGCAUAAAUUUUUCA